rfam:Sorghum bicolor cultivar BTx623 chromosome 1, whole genome shotgun sequence.
GUUGUCGGAUUCACUUCAAUGUAUGUGUUGUGGUGUGGAUUGAAGUGGAAUUUAGUUCAAAUUUCAAUCCAAUCCACCUCAAUACAUGUGGAUUGAUGUGAAUCCGACU